AACGAACGCUGGCGGCAUGCCUAACACAUGCAAGUCGAACGAGACCUUCGGGUCUAGUGGCGCACGGGUGCGGAACGCGGGGGAACCUGCCCUUAGGUUCGGAAUAACUCCCCGAAAGGGGUGCUAAUACCGGAGAAUGUCUUCGGACCAAAGAUUUAUGGCUUUUGGAUGGGCCCGCGUUGGCUUAGCUAGUUGGUAGGGUAAAAGCCUACCAAGGCGACGAUCCAUAGCUGGUCUGAGAGGAUGAUCAGCCACACUGGGACUGAGACACGGCCCAGACUCCUACGGGAGGCAGCAGUGGGGAAUAUUGGACAAUGGGCGAGAGCCUGAUCCAGCCAUGCCGCGUGAGUGAUGAAGGCCUUAGGGUUGUAAAGCUCUUUUACCCGGGAUGAUAAUGACAGUACCGGGAGAAUAAGCUCCGGCUAACUCCGUG
rnacentral:rRNA from 1 species